UAGAAGUCCACCUGACAUUAGGUUUCUUCCUGCUUCUUCAUCAUACGUCUGCGAUUUCCCCGAUGAAAAUUCACAGAAACUUAAAGCGCCGUUUGAUCUCCAUAACUUUUUGAAUAUGGCAACCCAUCACGGAGAAACGAACUUGCGGAUCAACUCAUGGGACUGUUAGUACCACUUUGUCUGCCGUACAAGCGAUACAAAAGGUAUAAAGUACUGAAAAUUGUACAAAUGGUGGACUCAGAGGUGAAAAUUUGUUUUAGUGUUAGGCUCUUCAUAUUAUAAAACCUGAUCAGAGAGUUUGUUUAGCAAGUGAUUUGACGGGCAGGUCAUCAGAUGUGUUCCAAACCAAAAUGGAAACCAUGUGAUCAAGAAACGCAUCCAUAAUAUCCCAAUAGACUGAGUUGGAUUCAUGUUUAGCUGCAUUCCGAUCCUUGGUCAAGUUUCCACACUCUCUAUCCAUCCUUAUGGCAGCCAUGACAUACAGUAUAAAGGCAUCUGUAGCGUUUUACAAAUGAGCAUCAGUUGCAGUUCAUUACCGAGGAGAUGCUGGAAUCAGUAUGCAUCCUUUGCAAGGACCAGUAUGGAAUAAACAAAAUCCCACGGUUUGUUAACCACUCAACACACCAAUGUUCCUAUUUGGCGUCAUGUCUUGGAUAAAUUUAAAGCUUUGUGCUAAGAGUAUUGAGAAACUCUUUUCGAUUUAGGUGUGUUGAGAGAUCAGUUUAAAUUAUACAGCUUUCAUGUUCAUCUUCCUGAACUGUAUGUGGUUGUUGUUUUGUACGGAGAUUAUUUAUGUUUCUGGUUGAAUAAAAUGUUGUGCUGGAGCCACAUAUCGAAGUAGAAGACAUGAUCGGUCAUGCUAGGACAGGGAUAAAAAAAAGACUCUUGCUUUUGGA